rnacentral:rRNA from 1 species
UACGUAGGGUGCGAGCGUUAAUCGGAAUUACUGGGCGUAAAGGGUGCGCAGGCGGUCUCGUAAGCUGGGUGUGAAAGCCCCGGGCUUAACCUGGGAAUGGCAUUCAGGACUGCGAGGCUUUGAGUGUGGCAGAGGGAGGUGGAAUUCCACGUGUAGCAGUGAAAUGCGUAGAGAUGUGGAGGAACACCGAUGGCGAAGGCAGCCUCCUGGGCCAGCACUGACGCUCAGUGCACGAAAGCGUGGGAGCAAACAGG